GUGGGUGUUCACCCCUUCCUCCAUCUUCCGACACUUCACUUAUACCAGCCAUCUCCUUUGAACUAGCAUCACUCUUUAUGAGGACCCUGUGAUUAUGCUGAGCCCACCUAGAAUCUCCUCUGGAGAUUCUUAAUCACACCAGCAAAAAUCUCUUCUGUCAGGAAGUGACCAAGACCACCUGGAACACCAAACCUAUCAUGAUACUAGAGCAACCAAAGAGAACACAGUCUACCUGUUCUGAGCAUGUUUAGGAUGAUGGAGAAAAUGAUCUUCUGAGAUCCCUUCUACUGUUAAACUUCUAUGAUUUGAAGACUGAGGAUAGAAUAUUGGUUUAUUAAGCACUGGGUCCUAUUGGGACAGCUCAGUCAUUCCUUGACUUGUUUAAAUUAAGUUUAGGAUAUGGAAAGAUGCUGGAAAGAAUAUGUGAAAAAGGAGGAUAAGAACAAAAGUGAGAAGAGGGGUCUGACCACUGAAAAUCUUUGAUGCCAUACAAAAUGAAUGACUUGUUUUAAUUCGUGAAAUGUCUUCAUGCCUAAUAGCAAGCAGAAGAAAACCUUGCUCUCCUCCGCUGAGAAGACAAGUUAAGAGCAAAACGCCAAGAAACUUCAAAAUUAUUUUCAAGGAAAAAAGAAGUGGCUUUCAAAAUGCAUUAGCAAAACUCCAUAGAUUUCCUAAAUCCAAAGACUAAUAAUAUAUACAACAUUUCCUUGCCUAAAAGCUAUGUCCUAAUAUGA